GUGCUGUAAGGACGAGAUGCUUUCACCAGCAGCCGAGUGAGAUGAAAGCGCUUUUCCGAUCCACCGAAUCAGUCCCACUGCAACUGUAAGCUGGAGACCCUCUGGGCCUUGGGAGCUCAGGCUGCCUGGGCAACGCAAGGGAGGACAGGGGCGGAGGGGGAGCCAGGAGGGCCGCACCUGCCUCGCUCGCUGGUCGCCCUCGCUCUGGGAUCCGUCCUGCCGGUCCCAGGCUGUUGAGGGCGCCUCCUCAGAGUCCCUGUGGCCCCCGCAGCUUCCCCGGAAGAAACCCGUGCAUCCAUCGGCUAGCCCAAGCCCAAGCUCCUCCCGGAGCUCCCCGAGCCGGGGCCAGGCCUCCGCCCCUCGGUGCCCGCGCCUGGGCUCCUCCCGCUGCGGGCCGCCCGCCCGGACGCAAGGCACAGGGGGACGCCCCGCCGAGCCGCUGCCCACUGCACCGAGUUUUUCGGAGGCUGGGAGAGGAAAUGCCACUUGGAUUUUAAAACCGUCACCGAUACGCUAUAGCCCUGCUUUCUCUACCUCCAGUCGUUUUCUGAGGACCGGCUUGGUGGGUGCUGAUGCCUGCCUGGAAGACCUCACACCCACAGUGUCUUAGAAGAUUCUGAAAGCAGUGUGAGACCAGAAUGACCAGCAAAGGAGAAAAGAACAAGGACACAUUGCAGCCAAAAUGGAGCUAGAAUCUUGCCUCUGUCCAUCCUUCACUGGAGUUAUCCUGGAUGGAGAAGGAACCAUAUCACCUGCAAAGCCUGGAAGGGGAGCCCUGCUGUGAGAUGGAGAGGCUGACCCCAGACUUCCUUGGGCAGGUUACACCACAGCCGUGCAUUUGUUUCUAGCUACGCAGUUAAUGGGACAUGGAAGAACCAGACCUGCCUGAGUACCUAACAUGGCAAAGGGCCUUCGGAACAUGAAGAAUAGCAGAGAUAAGAAUGUUAAGCUUAGAAAAGACUUGAGGACUUUAAAGCUGCUUUCCUAUUUGAAAGGCUGUCUCAUGGAAAAGAGAUUGGACUUGUGUAUGUGUGUGUGUUUGGUGGGGGGCUUCGAGGGUUUGAACAAGGACCAGUGGAACACGGGUCAGAUUGGUAGAAGGAAGUUUCACUAAAAACCAAUUGGAGAGGCAGUAGUGUGGACAGGAACGCAGAGUCUGGAGUCAGACUAUUUGUCUCCAAAUCCUACUUUCUGUGCCUCUUACCUUGUCUGUGAAGGCGAGAUUAAAAAGUUGUACUUAUCUCAAAAAGUUGUUGUGAGGAAUAAGUAAAUUAAUAUGGGUAAAAUGCUUUAAAUAGCUUGGUUCAUGCUAAGUACUCAAUAAAUGUGAGGUGGAAAUGGAAACAUCUAUGAUUUGAUAAAUAAAG
rnacentral:lncRNA from 1 species